GUUAAUCCAGCCUCUAGUGGCUGUCUCACUGACAGCCGCAGGAGGCGCUUCCGCGAUUCUCACUGUGAAAAUCAAAGUGAGAAGACGCUGGACGUCCAUAUGAAAGCAUUGAGUAAUGCUUUCAUAAGGGCUGUUUGAAUGUGCGGGCGGCUCUUGCCACGCAUGCGCAUUCAGAUCUGACGUCGGCAGGGGGUGGAGAGUUCCCCAGCACAGAGGGAGCCUGGCGCUGGAGAAAGGUAAGUGGCUGAAGGGGUUUUAACCCCUUCAAUCCAGCGGGAGGGGAGCCCUGAGGGUGGGGGGGUACCUAAUGACCCUAUAGUGCUAGGAAAACAAGUUUGUUUUCCUGACACUAUAGUGCUCCUUUAAAAUGUU